rnacentral:tRNA from 1 species
GGAGAGAUGGCCGAGCUGGCUGAAGGCGCCUGACUCGAAAUCAGGUAUGGGGAAACCCAUCGGGGGUUCAAAUCCCUCUCUCUCCG